rnacentral:rRNA from 1 species
AUUGAACGCUGGCGGCAUGCCUUACACAUGCAAGUCGAACGGUAACAGGUCUUCGGAUGCUGAUGAGUGGCGAACGGGUGGGUAAUACAUCGGAACGUGCCUGGUAGUGGGGGAUAACUACUCGAAAGAGUGGCUAAUACCGCAUGAGAUCUACGGAUGAAAGCAGGGGAUCGCAAGACCUUGUGCUACUAGAGCGGCCGAUGGCAGAUUAGGUAGUUGGUGGGAUAAAAGCUUACCAAGCCGACGAUCUGUAGCUGGUCUGAGAGGACGAUCAGCCACACGGGGACUGAGACACGGCCCAGACUCCUACGGGAGGCAGCAGUGGAGAAUUUUGGACAAUGGGCGCAAGCCUGAUCCAGCAAUGCCGCGUGCAGGAUGAAGGCCUUCGGGUUGUAAACUGCUUUUGUACGGAACGAAAAGCCCCGGGUUAAUACCCUGGGGUCAUGACGGUACCGUAAGAAUAAGCACCGGCUAACUACGUGCCAGCCGCCGCAGUAA